GAUGAACGCUGGCGGCGUGCCUAAUACAUGCAAGUCGAGCGAACGGACGAGAAGCUUGCUUGUCUGAUGUUAGCGGCGGACGGGUGAGUAACACGUGGAUAACCUACCUAUCAUACUGAGAUAACUUCGGGACACCGGAUCUUAUCCCGGAGAAUCUUUUGAACCGCAUGGUUCAAAAGUAAAAUACGGUCUUGCUGUCACUUAUCGCUGGAUCCGCGCUGCAUUAGCUAGUUGGUAAGGUAACGGCUUACCAAGGCAACGAUGCAUAGCCGACCUGAGAGGGUGGUCGGCCACACUGGAACUGAGCCAGGGUCCUGAGUCCUGCGGGAGGCAGCAGUCGGGAAUCUUCCGCAACGGGCGAAAGCCUGACGGAGCAACGCCGCGUGAGUGAUGAAGGCCUUCGGAUCGUAAUACUGUGCUAUUAGUGAAGAACAGAUGUGUAAGUAACUGUGCAGUUCGUGACGGUACCUAAUCAGAAAGCCACGGCUAACUACGUG
rnacentral:rRNA from 1 species